AUCAUACCAUGUUGAAACACCGGUUGUCAUAUGAUCACUGAAGUUAAGCAACGUUGAGCCUAGUCCGUAGCUAGAUGAGUGACCGCUUGGGAAUACCAAAUGUUGUA